UACGAAGGGGGCUAGCGUUGCUCGGAAUCACUGGGCGUAAAGCGCACGUAGGCGGACUCUUAAGUCAGGGGUGAAAUCCUGGAGCUCAACUCCAGAACUGCCUUUGAUACUGAGGAUCUUGAGUACGGGAGAGGUGAGUGGAACUGCGAGUGUAGAGGUGAAAUUCGUAGAUAUUCGCAAGAACACCAGUGGCGAAGGCGGCUCACUGGCCCGUUACUGACGCUGAGGCACGAAAGCGUGGGGAGCAAACAGG
rnacentral:rRNA from 1 species